AUCAUUAACGCGGGAUCAUUGUCGUUUAAUUACAAUCAUCACUGUAGCAAAAGUCAAGGAUGUCACAUAAGCCUCGGGUUCUGAAUUAUCCAUCCUUCUCUUCGUGCAUGGGUGGAACUUUCCGCGUGAAUACUAUCACUUCUCCAGCAAGACCUAGGCUACCACUGGGUACUCCAUGGUGUCGUUCAACCAAUUUCCACCCAGAGGUAUAUUGCAUCAUGAGUCUUCAAAGUCUUGAAAGUCUUGAAGUCUUGAGAUUUUGGUUAUUAAUUAUGUCUCGCAACUCUCAUGAUAAACACUCAACCAACUCCGUCUACUAAAACCGUAACAAAAAUGAAAUAACGUCACGGGCCAAAGUAACGAGUUCAUGGGUGCCUACCAGAUGAUACUACAUCAUGAACCAAAUUUCCAAGUACCUACUUUGCAUGCAAUGGAUGGAGAAGGUUGAACUAAUGCAAUAAAAUCAUAGGUAAAAACAUGAUCAACGUGAACUUGCCUUGCUGACGAUCUUCAAACUCGAGUGAUUCUAAAUAGCAAGUCUCGCACUCCAGAUGAUCUAACGAGACAAACAGUUCACACAAUAAGCACAACAUAAACAUAACAGCAAGUAAUAACUAAUAAUAUUAAACAAUCAAUACUACUAACGAAGACAAGAGAGAAACCAAAUAAAGAAUUCAUCGAAAACUCCAUGGCAAAGCAUUUACUAAAACAAAACAAACUAUAAAUAGUUUUCUGCACCUAAUAACAUCUUAACAGAAAAAUAAAGUACAAGUAAUGAAAUUAACAGCAAGUAUUUUACCUAAACUUUUCUACACAAAAAGAAUCAAAUAAAAAGGUUUUAUAAGACAAAAGUUAUGGUCUAUCUAAAAUAAAUCUUGAAUCUGUCCAGAUCUUAAAUUUAUCAAAACAAAAAAAUAUUUUUAUUUGUCCUCUGGAUAGACAUAACAUGUAGAAAUCAUUAGCAAAAAGAAAAACUCAAAAACAACUUUUUAAUUAAAAGUUAUACCUAAAAUAGUGUUUAAUAUAAAUCUGUUUGAACUCAAAAUUUAAAAGUUUUAAAAUAUUUUUUUGAUGGUUCCACGUGAUAGAGGUGAUUUUUAUGAAUGAGGAGCAAAAAGAAUCAUCAAAAUAGGAGUUAUAAAACUAAAGAUACAAAAACAAACUAAGAUCUAAUCUAAAAAGGGAUUUUUCUGAAACGUUAGAUUGCGGACAAGCGACACGUGGCUAUCACUGAUUCGCUGGAAGUGUUCGCUACAAGGGCUAUGAGGUGGAUGAUCUCUACCUAACUAAUAUGAAAAAAAUUACUUACAACGAACGAACAUGACAAGGCAAAGAAGAAGAUGACGAUGGUGUCGCGGCUCCGGCGAUCAACGGUGUUGGGAAAGUUGACCAACAGAUGCGGAACGUCGAGGGCGAUCGAUUUUUUCUGAAGAAGAAAGUUGGUGGUGACCGAAGCGAGCGGGGCGUCAAAGUGAACUCCGUGAACUACGACAGCGUUACGAGCUCGAGGCGGUCGUUGUAGAUGGAAAGACGAGGUUAGACCUUGUCAACAAGCAGGUAGGGAUCGAAUGAAGUCAAGCUGUAGAAGGUGGAGGACCGGGAUAGCUCACGGGCGGUAGAAUCGGACGAUGAACCGCAGCUUCUGUCGCGAGAUCCAAACGACAAAAGCUCCACGUACAGAGGGUUUUGGCAUGGAAUUUUUAGAAGAAUCGGUCGAGGGGAGUCUCAC
rnacentral:lncRNA from 1 species